UCCCUUGAAUCGUUAUUCCCAGAUGAAGUCCAGCCCAUUGUUGCGGCUUGCCAAGCAAAGUUCGGUGAUUAUCAAUGCAACAAUGCAAUGGUAAUUUGGUCACAAUUGAAGGGGAAAACAACCCAGUUCAAGAAUCCCAGUUCUAUUGG